UGCACAAAAGUCUUGCAACUUCUAUAUCCAUGAAAAUCAGCACGGGCAAAAUUUGGCGGUCUUUCUGGGUACUGCAUGUUUGGGCAGGUAAAGGCAGUUGAAAAAUGCAUGACCCCAGAAUACCGUAAUUGUCGCAAAUACAUGCCAGUUGCCAAGCACCCAAAUUUUGAUCAAAGCACCAUGGGAAAUGCGGUGAUGGUCAUAAGUAUGAGAACCAUUUGUAAGUCACUCUUUUUCAGUGCCACUGUAUCAUUGUAAUGUUGAAUGGUUGCUAAACAAAUCAUUGUAAGUCGAGGACUCCCUAUAUAGUAGAAUGCAUCUCCCCUCCUCCUGCACACUUUUCUGUUAUAUGCAGGCAUGUAAUUCAACACAUGCAAAUUCACUGGGAGAACCAGUAGUAUAAUUCUACACCAGAUUCUCCCCUUAGAACAAACAGGAAUUUGGCUUAACUCACAUUCCAGCUGUGAAUUGUUAUUGCUUUGGCUGGGGUAUAAAAGAAAUGAAGACAACCGGAUUGGGACCAAAAUGUUGUUGUGUUUACGUUCCUUCUCUCAUUUCCCAAUUGCCACACACAAAUGAAAAAGGGGGCCCCUAAGCAGUGGUGAAAUCUGAACCGAUUUACUACCGGUUCACUGACUGCGCAUGCAGAAUGCGCACCACACACCAAAUGCAAGGUGUGCACGCGCACGCAGUGCACACCAAAAGGAGGCAUGGGAUGGGCUAACUAAGCCCUGAAUCUGUAGGAGGAGGCUGCACACUCAGAAUGCAGUCUCUUUUCUUUCACUCUCGUGACUCCAUGCAUGGAAAAAAAGGGCCCAUUGAUCUCACAAUUGCAGUUCCUUGACUUUUCUGCCAACAGACAAACCUUUCUCAGAGAGGCUGCCCACGUGGGAAAGUAUUCGCUUUGCACAGGAGGAGACCCAAGGGCCAAUAUCCAGAUGCUGCCAGCUGGAAAAGGACUCUGCCAACAUUACAACAUCUAUCGGAUAACAGUCAGAAGAUCAAGUUGCUUGGAACUUCUCGCUCUUUCUGUCAGCAGAUUUAUGCCUUGACUGCAGCUUCAGAGAGACUCGGGCACUUUAUCUUUACAAAAGGCAGAUUUGGAUGUCAAAUGUGCCCACCCAAAAGAUUUACGAUCAUUUUUUUUAAAAAAAGCAUUCUUUUUGUUUGCUGCAUUUUUAAAAAGGUAAGCAGAAUAAAAUGAACAUUUAAAAAAAAAAAGAUCUUGAAGUUGAUGCCCAUGCUUGGUAUAAUUUGCUACUCUUCCUCUGUUCAGCAACACUUCACUAAGGAUUCAUGGAGGAAUGGAGUGCACCUGCUGGACAGGGAGGGUCAAAAAAAAUCAAGGCGCCAGUCCACAUCGUGUAACUGAAACCUCACCAAAAAAAAAUAAAUACUCCGGUUUUAGAUCUAUUUGUUGUUUGGUAAUUUCCUCUAGCCAGUUUCUUAUCUUUAUCCAAUAUUUCUUUGCUUCUGGGCAUGUCCACCACAUGUGGUAGUAAAACCGGAGUUAUUUCUAUUAGGUAUAUUAAUAGGAAAUUAUAAUUUUAAAAAUCCAAUACGUAAUGCUACAUAUAAUAACAGCGGCAAGAAUCAUUCAUGCGCAAAAUGGGAAAAAUGAAAGUGUAUCUUUUGAUGGAAUGGUGAUUAAGGGAAGUGCUAGAAAGUGCAGAGAUGGAUAGGUUGACAGUGGGAAUAAAAGACAGAGGAGAAACUGACUACUGUUUGAUUUGGACUUUAUGGUACAACUGGUUAGAGAAUAGAAGUAAAGAUUAAGGAUGUUAAAGUAAGAUGAGACCUGAUAAAAAUGAAUAUAUAUUUAUGUAACUAUAAUUAAGCACAGUGUAUAUACAGAUCAAGAUCAGAGGUGGUAUUCAGCAGGUUCUGACCAGUUCUAGAGAACUGGUAGCGGAAAUUUUGAGUAGUUCAGAGAACUGGUAAAUACCACCUCUGACUGUCCCCGCCCCCAUCUAUUCUCUGCCUUCCGAGUCCCAGCUAAUCUGGAGCAAAUGGAGAUUUUGCAGUAACCUUCCUCUGGAUUGGGGAGGGAAUGGAGAUUUUAUAGUAUCCUUCCCCUGGAGUGGGGAGGGAAUGGGGAUUUUGCAGUAUCCUUCCCCUGGAAUGGAGAGGGAAUGGAGAUUUUACAGUAUCCUUCCCCUGGAAUGGGGAGGGAAUGGAGAUUUUACAGUAUCCUUCCCCUGCCAUACCCACCAUGCCACGCCCACCAAGGCACACCCACAGAACCGUUAGUAAAAAAAAAUUGAAACCCACCACUGAUCAAGAUACA